GAUAAACGCUGGCGGCGUGCCUAAAACAUGCAAGUCGAACGGCUCUUCGGAGCAGUGGCGGACGGCUGAGUAACACGUGGGUGACCUGCCCUCGCGCGGGGGAUAACUGCCCGAAAGGGUGGCUAAUACCGCAGAUCUCCGUGAUUCGGUUGACGGAGUGAACUUUCGGGGUGUGAGGAGGGGCCCGCGGCCGAUUAGCUAGCUGGUGGGGUAACGGCCUACCAGGGCAUCGAUCGGUAGCUGGUCUGAGAGGAUGAUCAGCCAGACUGGGACUGCGAACGGCCCAGACUCCUACGGGAGGCAGCAGUUAGGAAUUUUGGGCAAUGGGCGAAAGCCUGACCCAGCAACGCCGCGUGGGUGAUGAAGGCCCUCGGGUCGUAAAGCCCUUUUCCCAGGGAAGAUAGUGACGGUACCUGGGGAAUCAGCCCCGGCUAACUACGUGCCAGCAGCCGCCGUAAUAC
rnacentral:rRNA from 1 species